rfam:Hordeum vulgare subsp. vulgare, WGS project CAJW01000000 data, contig: morex_contig_1757144
AUAAUACUCCCUCCGUCCGGAANNNNUUGUCAUAAGAAUGGAUGUAUCUAGAUGUAUUUUAGUUCUAGAUGCAUCCUUUUUUAUUCAUUUGUGCGACAAGUAAUUCCGGAUGGAGGGAGUAGAUA